UACGGGGGGGACAAGCGUUGUUCGGAUUUACUGGGCGUAAAGGGCGCGUAGGCGGGCUAUCAAGUCGGAUGUGAAACCCUCGAGCUUAACUCGAGGCCUGCAUUUGAUACUGAUAGUCUUGAGUACAGGAGAGGAAAGUGGAAUUCCAGGUGUAGCGGUGAAAUGCGUAGAUAUCUGGAAGAACACCAGUAGCGAAGGCGGCUUUCUGGACUGAUACUGACGCUUAAGCGCGAAGGCUUGGGGAGCAAACAGG
rnacentral:rRNA from 1 species